CAGCCGCCACGGUAAUACGGAGGGUGCAAGCGUUAAUCGGAAUUACUGGGCGUAAAGCGCACGCAGGCGGUCUGACAAGUCAGAUGUGAAAUCCCCGGGCUUAACCUGGGAACUGCAUUUGAAACUGUCAGGCUGGAGUCUUGUAGAGGGGGGUAGAAUUCCAGGUGUAGCGGUGAAAUGCGUAGAGAUCUGGAGGAAUACCGGUGGCGAAGGCGGCCCCCUGGACAAAGACUGACGCUCAGGUGCGAAAGCGUGGGGAGCAAACAGGAUUAGAUACCCCAGUAGUCCCUGUCUCUUAUAC
rnacentral:rRNA from 1 species